rnacentral:snoRNA from 1 species
UCGAUGAUGCCAACCCACAAGUCUUCUGCUCUGUGAUGCACAUCUCAACUUGGUCGAUGCCACUGAGG